GACGAACGCUGGCGGCGUGCCUAAUACAUGCAAGUAGAACGCUGAAGGAGGAGCUUGCUUCUCUGGAUGAGUUGCGAACGGGUGAGUAACGCGUAGGUAACCUGCCUGGUAGCGGGGGAUAACUCUUGGAAACGAUAGCUAAUACCGCAUAACAGUAGAUAUCGCAUGAUAUCUACUUGAAAGGUGCAAUUUCAUCACUACCAGAAGGACCUGGCUUGUAUUAUCUAGUUGGUGAGGUAACGGCUCACCAAGGCGACGAUACAUAGCCGACCUGAGAGGGUGAUCGGCCACACUGGGACUGGGACACGGCCCAGACUCCUACGGGAGGCAGCAGUAGGGAAUCUUCGGCAAUGGACGGAAGGCUGACCGAGCAACGCCGCGGGAGGGAAGAAGGGUUUCGGAUCGUAAAGAUCUGUUGUAAGAGAAGAACGAGUGUGAGAGUGGAAAGUGCACACUGUGACGGUAUCUGACCAGAAAGGGACGGCUAACUACGUG
rnacentral:rRNA from 1 species